GAUGAACGCUGGCGGCGUGCCUAAUACAUGCAAGUCGAGCGAACAGACGAGGAGCUUGCUCCUCUGACGUUAGCGGCGGACGGGUGAGUAACACGUGGAUAACCUACCUAUAAGACUGGGAUAACUUCGGGAAACCGGAGCUAAUACCGGAUAAUAUAUUGAACCGCAUGGUUCAAUAGUGAAAGAUGGUUUUGCUGUCACUUAUAGAUGGAUCCGCGCCGCAUUAGCUAGUUGGUAGGUAACGGCUUACCAAGGCGACGAUGCGUAGCCGACCUGAGAGGGUGAUCGGCCACACUGGAACUGAGACACGGUCCAGACUCCUACGGGAGGCAGCAGUAGGGAAUCUUCCGCAAUGGGCGAAAGCCUGACGGAGCAACGCCGCGUGAGUGAUGAAGGUCUUCGGAUCGUAAAACUCUGUUAUUAGGGAAGAACAAAUGUGUAAGUAACUAUGCACGUCUUGACGGUACCUAAUCAGAAAGCCACGGCUAACUACGUG
rnacentral:rRNA from 1 species